rnacentral:rRNA from 1 species
CUACCAAGACAGUGACGGUUGACGGGGAAUCAGGGUUUGAUACCGGAGAGGGAGCCUGAGAGAUAGCUCCCACGUCCAUGGACGGCAGCAGGCGCGAAAAUUGCCCACUCUUUGCAGGAGGCAGUUAUGAGACGUGAGAAUGAAUAUUUUGUAAAGAGGAAUAUGAGAAUUGGAGGGCAAGUUUGGUGCCAGCCGCCGCGGUAAUACCGACUCCAAGAGUGUGUAUGAGAGAUGCUGCAGUUAAAAAGUCCGUAGUCGUAGAAAUGGAAAUAGGGAUGCGAGGUCUCUGUAGUUAGUUUUGGAAAAACCGAUGGGGAACAUAGUAUACCAGGGCGAGAGAUGAAAUGCCAAGACCCCUGGUGGACUGAGCGGGGCGAAAGCGAUGUUCUUGUAGGUACUUGAUGAUCAAGGACGAAGGCUGGAGUAUCGAAAGUGAUUAGAUACCGCAGUAGUUCCAGCAGUAAAAGAUGCC